rnacentral:rRNA from 1 species
UACGUAGGGUGCAAGCGUUAAUCGGAAUUACUGGGCGUAAAGCGUGCGCAGGCGGUUUUAUAAGUCAGCUGUGAAAUCCCCGGGCUCAACCUGGGAAUGGCAGUUGAGACUGUAAGGCUGGAGUGUGUCAGAGGGGGGUGGAAUUCCACGUGUAGCAGUGAAAUGCGUAGAGAUGUGGAGGAAUACCGAUGGCGAAGGCAGCCCCCUGGGAUAACACUGACGCUCAUGCACGAAAGCGUGGGGAGCGAACAGG